CAUAGCUCAGCUGGAUAGAGCAACGGCCUUCUAAGCCGUGGGUCGGGGGUUCGAAUCCCGUCUCG
rnacentral:tRNA from 1 species